AUUAAGUCACUUAAUCUUUACACUGAACACUAAGGUACAUCCUGUUAUAAUUCCCAUUUUACAGACAAGGAAACAGGCACAGAGAUGUUAAAUGCCUAUCCAGAUAAAAAGUGUGGGAGCUGUUUUACAUUCAUGCAAUCUAGCUGAUAAAGUCACACACAUUAAUAUUUGUACCAUAUAUUAUUGUACAAGAGCUGUCUUUGAUAAUUAUUCUUGUGUCACCAUUUACAAGAUGCCCCUGACUUUUAUUAAACUCUCAAAGGGCAGGAGAAGAAAAAAAAAAACAGAAGAACCUAAACCCGAAAUCAUAGACUACAUGCAGACAUACAGAUGGAUGAUUAAAAACCCAAGUUGUGCGUGCCAUGUUUGGAAUUCCAUUUUAGCUGAGUGCUUCAGACUAUCACAUCUCUCAGUGGCUCCCUGGAGUUGCCCACUAAGGAAAAAUGAUUGAAUGACAGGACUGGAAUGGAAUGUAGCCAUCAUCUUAUCUGACCACACAAACACCUCCCAGGAGAUGAAUGCCUCACCUCCUCGUGAUAAUUUUGAAGACUUUCUGAGAAAGUGAUAACACUAGCCCAUUACCUCACAAUCCCAAGGAACACUAAAGUGACUGCAAACCCUAUGUGCCUCAUUCAACAGGUGUCGCAGAAUAAAGGAAAGAAAGAUUGGGAGAGAGAUGGGAGCUGGCAGAUCAGAGGAGACCAAAGACUUAAACUGAAGACUAAACCAUGGGAAAUGGGAACAAGGACUUAUUUGCUUAGAGGUGAAAAGGGUGAAUUUACCUACAGGGGAAAUCUGAAAGCAGCUCUCCCUGGGAGCCAGUCAAUGAAGAGCCAUUGCAGAAUUUUAAAUAAGGAACCAAAAAUAGAGUCUGAAAAUAGAGGCGCAGAGACCAGUCAACCGCAAUGAAGAACAAGCCAUUUUGAUCUCCAUCCUGGUUUAUAUCUUCUGUGUUCUCAAAGCAUCAUAUUAUAGAAUGGCUCACAAAUUCUUUUGCAAUUGCCUAUUUAUUUGUCCAUUUCUCCCUCCAGACUGCCUUUGUGAGAAAAACACCCAAAUGCCACAAGUGCAUCCCCAUGGAGCUUCAGGGCGGCAGGAGCCAAGGAUGCAGAAGUAUAAUUGCUUUGUAUCUACUCCGAUUUGAGCUUCAUCAAAUCCUUUGGCUCCCAAGGCAUUCUGCAGCAGAUGUGUGCACAAUAUUCCAGCAUUGGGACUUGUUUCUGCCCAUACUGCUAGGGGGCCUGAGAGUCUGAGGGUCUGCAAAGCCUCCAAACCCUUUCCUUCCUUCCAGGCCUCAGGGUCUGUGCUGGCCACCCUCCUAUACAGCCUUUACCUGGCAUUCUUGCUAAGUUAUUUGGGGGCUCCAACCUUGACUCUUUUUAUUCCAUGCUGAUUUCUUCUGGGCUCUGAACCUUGCGUGGAAACAUGCACUGCUAGUAAUAAACAAAGAGUAAUCAUG